AAAAAAAAAAAAAAAAAGUGUGCACAAUUAAACAUUUCAACCUUACAAGCUUAGCAGGUGCUGGCUAAAUGAAUCAAAUUCAUCAAACAACGCUUUCAAAUGAAUGAAAACACAAUACAUUAAAAGUAGAACAGUUUUAAAACUCCCACACACAGCUUAAAACAUAUCGAUGAACAUAGAAAACAAGCUCAAGAAAUGUUAUAGAUAAUGUAAAUCGGCGAAAUAUUCUCAUAUUUGUCGUACUCAUACACCUAUUUGAUUCAUUCAUUAAAUCACAAACAUUCUCAGAUCAUAUAAAAUAAAUCAUUAUUGUUAGAACUGUCAGAACCUUAUUAUACCAACCAAAACANNNNNNNNNNNNNNNNNNNNNNNNNNNNNNNNNNNNNNNNNNNNNNAAACAUGUCAUCUACCAGUUGACUAACAUGAAAGAAAAAAGUUUGAUCAAAACUUCUAAACAUAAACACAGAAAAAUAAUAACAAAUCCUUAUAACGUUCAAUUAUUAUCACCAUAAUUCAAAACUUAAAUUUAUAAAUUAUAACAAAAUCAAUAAGCUAACUAACCCCAACAUAAAUCUGCAUGUAUUAUUAUCUCUAAUUUUCCCCUCAACCUCAAAACUAAUAUUUAUUCAAGAAAAAAAAAACCUCAAAAAUUUAAAAUAAAAAAAAAACUGUACAAAAAUAUAUCUAACCUUGUAGCCAGAAAAAAAAAAAGUAAAAAUUAAUUGAAGAAACCAAAGCUUCAGGUUGAUCUACAAGAUAACAAUCGAAUCGAAUAAUGAUCAAAUUGAAAGGAAAAAAAAAAGGAUUAAAUUAAAUAAUCAAACAAUUAAGAAAAUUAACAAUUAAAACAACAAAAAUAAAGCUAAUAAAAAUUACAAGAAAAAGAAAACCGAAGAAAUAGAGAAAUUCUUGAAAUGGAACCCUAACCUUUUGGUAGAUUUGGGAUCGAAGAAGAGAGAGAAAGAAAUUGAAAUGAGUGUUGUAAGUGUUGAUUUUUUUUUCUCUCUCUCUCUCUUCUAUUUUUUUUUUGUGUUUGAAAACUUUCUUUCUUUCUUCUCUUUGUUUUGCCAACGAAAGCUCUUUGGUGGUGAUUGGUGGCGACGUGGGUAAUGGUUAUUGGGGUGUGAGGUUUAUUGUUGAAUUUACUAUAUUGUCCUUUUUGGUGAUGCUGUUGGCGGUUUUGCCAGGUAGAAAUGUUUGGAAGGUAUGGGUAUGAUGGUCCACCUAAAUAUUUUAUGGAGUGUUUGUUACGUUAAAUUAAAUUAAGUGGAAGAUUUGGUGAGGGGGUAAGGUUUGUA
rnacentral:lncRNA from 1 species